CGUCCCAUAGUUUAACUGGAUAAAACGGGGCUUUCCUAAAGCCCAGUUCUUGGUUCGAGCCCAGGUGGGACGGCCA
rnacentral:tRNA from 1 species